rnacentral:rRNA from 1 species
GACGAACCGAGCGAACGUUGUUCGGAAUCACUGGGCUUAAAGGGCGCGUAGGCGGGCUGUCAAGUCUGGGGUGAAAUCCCGCGGCUCAACCGCGGAACUGCCUCAGAUACUGACGGUCUCGAGGGGGGUAGGGGCGAGCGGAACUGAUGGUGGAGCGGUGAAAUGCGUUGAUAUCAUCAGGAACUCCGGUGGCGAAGGCGGCUCGCUGGACCUCUUCUGACGCUGAGGCGCGACAGCGUGGGGAGCAAACAGG